rnacentral:rRNA from 1 species
AUAAUAUAAUUUAUAAUACUAGUUAUUAAAUACUUUAUAAUAAAAAAAAAAUAAAAAAAAAGUAAAAUCAUUGCUUAAAUAUUAAUAUAAAUAUUAUUUUUAUAACUCAUAUGGUAAGUUAGUUAAUUAUUUUUGUAAUGGAGAUAUUUGUUAAAAUUAGUUAAUUUUGUGCCAGCAUCUGCGGUUAGACUAAGAAUUUAGUUAAUAUUUUUUAGUAUUUAUUAGGAAUGAUAAUUUAAGUUAUAAUUUUUGGUGAAAUAGUUGGUUGAAUUCUUAUUAAACUAAUUAAAAUAGUUUUAGUGAAAGUAGGAUUAGAUACCCUGUUAUUUUAACUUUGUUUUUUUCUAAGGAUUAAUGUUAAAUUUAAAAGAUUUGGCGGCUGAAUAAAAUUAAAGGAGUUUGUUUUUUUAUUUGAUAAGACACAUUAUUUUUUACUUAUUUUAUUUAGUAUAUCGUCAUUUAGAUGGUUUAUAAUUAAUUAACUAUCGUAAGGUGUUUAAGAAAAUUAGGUCAAGGUGCAGAGAUAAAUAAGGGUAAAUUAACUACAAUAAUGUAUUAUUAGACUUAUUUUCUUUAAAUUGAAGUUGUAGGUGGAUUUAAUUGUAAUUAAAAUAAUAUGAAAUUUAGUUUAGUGUACAAAUUGCCCGUCAUUCUCUAUGAGACAAGUCGAAACAAAGUAGGGCUAUCGGAAGUUGGGCCUA